UGCUGAUGUUGUUAACAUUAAUAUAUAUAUUCCUCUCCUUUGAAAAAAUGCUGAUUCUCUCUUUUUUUAAUUUACUGGCUUUGUAAAACAAAGCCACAUUUUUACCAGGAAGAUACAAAUAACUCCUUCAAAAUAGAAAUUUUAUCUUUAUUGAAGUCUUCUAACUCAUUGCUGAGAAUUAUUAUACAAUUAAAGAUUGUGAAACUUCAUAAUAUCUCUGGCAGCUCAAUAUCAUCUCUCCUGAACGUGUCUGUGGUUUCAGAAAGUACGCCUCCGUGAACAUCAGCAUUAACCUGUAUGUGAUCAGCCAGCCGUGGCUGUAUUCUCUGGCGUGGUGCGCUGGGGUUCAUUCAGUCACGUCGAACGCUCUGCACAUCCUCACGACGCUGCAGCGGCCCUUGUUCCUCAUGACUCCUGAUGAAUACAGUCUGAUGUGGAUCCUGACUGACAUCAUGUCUGCUUUCCUCAUCGCUGCUAUUUUCAUCUUCCACUGGUGGCGUGAGCGAGGUUUGCCGUUCUGGUCGGGCAGCAGACAGGUGAAUGAGAACGGACCGUACAGCAAGUUCAGGACGGAGCUGAGCGACGUCUGGUCCAUCUCCAGCAUCAGCGUCCACAGAGAGGCUCAGAACUCGCCCGUCACUCCCAGCCUGCCCACCAUCAGCGAGGAGCCGCCCGUCUGAAGCCCCCCGACCGAGAUCUGCAUCAUCACACGUCCAUUCAGCGCUUCAGAGCGACGCAGACAGCAAUCUGAGCUUCAAACCAGCGGCGGAAGAUGCUUUUCAUAAUCUAGUCUGGACGAGGGUCAAACUAGAACAUGACUUUAUGAAGUAUGAACUGAUAUUAUGAACUGAUAUUAAAUGACCCUCUAUUACUGGCCAGAUGGGUGAUAAUAU
ensembl:lncRNA